rnacentral:rRNA from 1 species
CAGUCGACGAAGCCUUAAGAAUGAUUCUUCGGAUGAAGUCUUAUUUGACUGAGUGGCGGACGGGUGAGUAACGCGUGGGUAACCUGCCUCACACAGGGGGAUAACAGUUGGAAACGACCGCUAAUACCGCAUAAGCCAACAGGACCGCAUGGUCUGGUUGGAAAAGAUUUAUCGGUGUGAGAUGGACCCGCGUCUGAUUAGCCAGUUGGCAGGGUAACGGCCUACCAAAGCGACGAUCAGUAGCCGGCCUGAGAGGGUGAACGGCCACAUUGGGACUGAGACACGGCCCAAACUCCUACGGGAGGCAGCAGUGGGGAAUAUUGCACAAUGGGGGAAACCCUGAUGCAGCGACGCCGCGUGAGUGAAGAAGUAUUUCGGUAUGUAAAGCUCUAUCAGCAGGGAAGAAAAUGACGGUACCUGACUAAGAAGCCCCGGCUAACUACGUGCCAGCAGCCGCGGUAAUACGUAGGGGGCAAGCGUUAUCCGGAUUUACUGGGUGUAAAGGGAGCGUAGACGGUGAUGCAAGUCAGAAGUGAAAGCCCGCGGCUCAACUGCGGGACUGCUUUUGAAACUGUAUGACUAGAGUGCAGGAGAGGUAAGCGGAAUUCCUAGUGUAGCGGUGAAAUGCGUAGAUAUUAGGAGGAACACCAGUGGCGAAGGCGGCUUACUGGACUGUAACUGACGUUGAGGCUCGAAAGCGUGGGGAGCAAACAGGAUUAGAUACCCUGGUAGUCCACGNCCGUAACGAUGAAUACUANGUGUCAGGGAGCAAAGCUCUUUGGUGCCGCAGCAAACGCAAUAAG